rnacentral:rRNA from 1 species
AUGAACGCUGGCGGCGUGCCUCAUACCUGCCAGUCGAGCGAACGGACGAGAAGCUUGCUUCUCUGAUGUUAGCGGCGGACGGGUGAGUAACACGUGGAUAUCCUACCUAUAAGACUGGGAUAACUUCGGGAAACCGGAGCUAAUACCGGAUAAUAUUUUGAACCGCAUGGUUCAAAAGUGAAAGACGGUCUUGCUGUCACUUAUAGAUGGAUCCGCGCUGCAUUAGCUAGUUGGUAAGGUAACGGCUUACCAAGGCAACGAUGCAUAGCCGACCUGAGAGGGUGAUCGGCCACACUGGAACUGAGACACGGUCCAGACUCCUACGGGAGGCAGCAGUAGGGAAUCUUCCGCAAUGGGCGAAAGCCUGACGGAGCAACGCCGCGUGAGUGAUGAAGGUCUUCGGAUCGUAAAACUCCGUUAUUAGGGAAGAACAUAUGUGUAAGUAACUGUGCACAUCUUGACGGUACCUAAUCAGAAAGCCACGGCUAACUACGUG